AGUUAAAAAGGAAAGGAUUUCUAAACAUUUAUUUUCUCCUCAAUAAUAGGUCCAUAAACGAAAAUGAAAAACCGAAACGGGGUUUGAAAUUUUUAAAUUUCGGAGCGAAAUUGUAGAGAGGGGAAAUGGUAGGGUUUAGUAUUUAAACCUUCCCUUCUAGUUUCUUUCUACUCCCAGUUUAAUUGCCUCCACCUCCACCAGUCCACCUCCGCAGACCAACCACCAGCAUAAAAUCAAGGAAUUGGUUUCUCAAGAUGGCAAGGAGCCGGCGGACAUUGAGUCCCUCCUGCAGGAACGAUUCAAGGCUAAUGAACCUACCCGCCGAUAUCCUUGACGACAUCCAUUUAGGCUAGCUAGUUAGUUAUGCGGUUAUGAAAAGAUGCAAAAUUGCAAAUGCUUUCAUCCAUUCAAUAUUGAAAAAUGGGAAAUCUUUUAAAUAAGAGUCACUCUACUACUUAACAAUUUAACGUCAAUUUUUAUAUCAAUAUUAUAAAAUAUUGUAUAAAAAAUAUAAGAUGACAGAAAAGAAUUGAUGUGUUUAUUUUUAAAAUAGCUUUUGUUGUACUUUAAGAAAAACAAAAGUUGGUUGCUGAACAAUUAGUAGGAGUUCCUGCGAAAAGCCAAUGUAAUUGCUCUUGGUUUGACA